rnacentral:rRNA from 1 species
GACGAACCGAGCGAACGUUAUUCGGAAUCACUGGGCUUAAAGGGCGCGUAGGCGGGCGAUCAAGUCAGGGGUGAAAGCCCCCGGCUCAACCGGGGAAGUGCCUCUGAUACUGAUCGCCUCGAGGGAGGUAGGGGCGUGCGGAACUUCCGGUGGAGCGGUGAAAUGCGUAGAUAUCGGAAGGAACACCGGUGGCGAAAGCGGCGCGCUGGACCUCUUCUGACGCUGAGGCGCGAAAGCCAGGGGAGCGAACGGG